CUUUUGUCCAGCAACUCCCGGGGAUGAUGGCAGUGCCCCAAGCAGAUUAGGGCACAGCAGGCGUGAUGCCAACUCAUGCAGCUUCUCCUUAGAAGUCACUCAGCGCCCCGUCCGUGUAGACAAAGAGCAAUAAUGGGAGAAAAAAGACACAGACUAGGCUCCUCCAGGCAGACCCAUUGCUAACCAGCCUCUAAGCGCUGAAUGAGAAGGCAGACCCCCGCCAUGCCAGAUUCACCAGGUCUUUCUCCCAGUGAGAGCGAUGAUUCAGCUUCUCAUCUGGGUCCUGUGCCAGUAUAGCAUUUACUAGCAGAUGGAUAAACAGGUUUGGAAAUCCCCUCCCUGUACUAAGGUUUGUGACACACACACACACAUUCACGUGGCAACACAAUGAGUGGCUUCCAGGAGAGACUCGCCCUUCAAACUAAUGAUUCAUCAAUAAUGUUUAGCCAGAAUUGAAGCAUCUGAAUACACAGCAUGUCUGUGCUCUGGCACUCCUUGAGGCAAAGAUCUAACAGCUCCAACCAGAUGUUUUGGCUGUGCUCCAGUUGUUGUUUGUUGGCUAAAAACUGGUUAAUUAAAGUUAAUCAUGAGUUUGUUUUGCUUUGUAGUUUUAAUUGGCAUGUUUAUCUCUGUUUACUUCAUACAGCUCAUAUCUUCUUAAUAAUAGUAUGCAGGUUGAACGCCACAACUGGUUGUCUUAAGGUUGACUUAAAUGAAAGAAUACAAACCAAACUGUGAAUGUUGGGAGUUAAAUUAACUUCAAGGUGAUUGGCUGAUGACCAAAGCACGUCAUAGUUUGGAACCAUUUGCAUGUUUGUAUUUUAGUAUAAAUGUCUGACUGUAUGGUUGAUUUGAAAAUGUAAAGUUAUUUUUAACGUGUGGCUUUUAUUCAAACUCUGAAGCACUUUGUAACUCUGUGUUUGGAUAAAAGUCCAUCAAGUUAUGAACCCAUCAGCACAUCCAUGAUUCUUAUAUCACCUUCCAAAGUUGCUCCAUUAGACUGAGAUCUGCUGACUACAGUGGCCAUUAGAGUUCACUGAACUCACUGUCAUGUUCAAGAAAACAGUUUAAGAUGAUCUAAGAUUUGUGACACGACACGCUGUUCUGCUGGAAUCAACCAUCAGAGGAGAGGUACACUGUUCUCAUAAAGAGACGGACAUGUUCAGCAAUAAUACUCAGGCAAGCUGUGAUGUUUACCUGAGUAUUAUUGCUACUCGGUUGAUACUAAGGGGCCCAAAAUGUGCCAAGAAAAUACCCCCCACAGUGACACCACCACCGCUAGUCUGCACAGCUGACAUAAGGCAGGAUGGAUCCAUCCUUUCAUGCUAUUUAUGCCAAAUUCUGACCCGACCAUCUGCAUGUCAGAGCAGAAAUCAAGACUCAUCAGACCAGGCAACAUUUUUCCAAUCUUCUCAUGUCAAAUUUUGAGAACUGUAGCUUCAGUUUCCUGUUCUUAGCUGACCAAGAUGCUCUUCUGCAUUCUUUGGUUGUAACAAAUGGUUGUAUGAGCUACGGUUGCCUUCCUGUCAAACAUUUUUCUCUGACCUUUGACAUCAAUAAGGCAGUUUUUCCAAGAGAACUGCCUUUCACUGGGUAUUUUCUCUUUUUUGUCACCGAAAAGGGUGUCCGUGCUGAUAAUCCUAGUCUGUGCUCCCAUGUUUGUCCACUUCCCUGAUCACCCCUCAGUGUAUAUAUUGUCUCUGUUUUCCUCUGUCCUUUGUCAGAGUGUCUGUUCACCUACCCCCCGUGUCUCCAUGUUCCCAGUGUUCUAGGUUUCCGAGUGUUUUCCCAGUUUAGGUUUUCAUGGUUGGUUCUGUUUGCUACUCAGCCAGAAUAAACAGCUCGCUUUUUUAAAAGUAGGCUCCAGAAUGGAUGAUGGGAUGUUCGCAUGUCUUUAUGUAACACUGAGUGUGCUGAACUAAAGAUUUUGACAGCUGGACAAGUGAUGCCUUAUUCAAAGAAACAUGAGAUGAGUGCAGCAUAUUAUCUGAACAGAGAUCAUUCAAUGAGCAAGAAUAAACACUGACAAGAGAAACACUUCACUGUUGAUUAUCAUAUGAAGUCUAAUGAAAGCUGUUAAUCUGUUAAUAUCCUGUUAAUCUGCAUACAGCAAAUAAAGAACAUGUGACUUUAAAGCAUCCAGCAAAGUGAUAACUGUCCUCUGCCCACUAAGUAGUGACUCUACAAAAGAUUACAUUCAAUAUCAUCUUUAUAUUAUAUUUAUAUUAUAUUUAGUUAUUCUCCAGUGCAACAAAGCCAUGUAGGGCAAUGUAAGGAGCUCUGUGAUUGGUUAGGAAAGGACAGACUGGCUACCUCGAUUUUUCUUCACUGCACAUCGAUCCAUAGCUUUGCACUGCAAAGGCUAACAAUAGACUUUUGCUUUUACAAAGACAUUUAGCCUCGGUAUUCCCUCUCUUAAAA